rnacentral:miRNA from 2 species
UAAAUAUCUUUCAGGAUCUGG